rnacentral:tRNA from 1 species
GUCCUUGUCGAUUAGUGGUCAAAUCAUCUCGUUGUGGAUGUUGCUUGACGACAAUGGCUCCGAGAAGCCGGAAGUUCGAAUCCUCCCUGGGACA